UGGUGAUUCAGCAAAUCAGUCUGUGGAUGGCUUCCACUAGGUUAAUGUCGAACAUAAAGUAUCAGCUUAUGCUGACAGCCUUUUAUUUUUUUUUAACAAACCUGCAUAUUCCUCGUGAAUAUUAUUGUGAAAUUUUGGAAUUACUGCAAGUUUAGCAACUUUAAUCUUAGUAUGGAUAAAUCUGAUGUUCUUAGUGUGACCUCACCGGUUGCUUUAAUGACCUUUCUGCAGCAGAAAUUUCCUUUAAGUGGUGCUCUGAUAAUCUGACAUAUUUGGGAGUUGUGGUGCCCUGUGAUCUUACUAUACUUUACUAACUUAAUUUUGUCUCCAUACUCAAUAGAUUCCAAAGUGACAUAAAAAUUAAUUUCUUGGUUAUUAUACCUUUUU